CCUACGGGAGGCAGCAGUGAGGAAUAUUGGUCAAUGGACGAGAGUCUGAACCAGCCAAGUAGCGUGAAGGAUGACUGCCCUAUGGGUUGUAAACUUCCUUUAUAUGGGAAUAAAACGUUCCACGUGUGGGAUUUUGUAUGUACCAUAUGAAUAAGGAUCGGCGAACUCCGUGCCAGCAGCCGCGGUAAUACGGAGGAUCCGAGCGUUAUCCGGAUUUAUUGGGUUUAAAGGGAGCGUAGGUGGAUUGUUAAGUCAGUUGUGAAAGUUUGCGGCUCAACCGUAAAAUUGCAGUUGAAACUGGCAGUCUUGAGUACAGUAGAGGUGGGCGGAAUUCGUGGUGUAGCGGUGAAAUGCUUAGAUAUCACGAAGAACUCCGAUUGCGAAGGCAGUUCACUGGACUGCAACUGACACUGAGGCUCGAAAGUGUGGGUAUCAAACAGGAUUAGAUACCCUUGUAGUC
rnacentral:rRNA from 1 species